CCUACGGGAGGCAGCAGUGGGGAAUAUUGCGCAAUGGGCGAAAGCCUGACGCAGCGACGCCGCGUGAGGGAUGAAGGUCUUCGGAUCGUAAACCUCUGUCAGCAGGGAAGAACGGUCACUGUGCUAAUCAGCAGUGAAUUGACGGUACCUGCAAAGGAAGCACCGGCUAACUCCGUGCCAGCAGCCGCGGUAAUACGGAGGGUGCGAGCGUUAAUUGGAAUUACUGGGCGUAAAGCGCUCGUAGGCGGUAUGUCAAGUCAAGGGUGAAAUCCCCGCGCUCAACGUGGGAACUGCCUUUGAAACUGGCAGACUGGAGUGUGUGAGAGGAUAGUGGAAUUCCAGGUGUAGGAGUGAAAUCCGUAGAUAUCUGGAGGAACAUCAGUGGCGAAGGCGACUAUCUGGCACAUAACUGACGCUGAGGAGCGAAAGCGUGGGUAUCGAACAGGAUUAGAUACCCUUGUAGUC
rnacentral:rRNA from 1 species